AUCAUUUCCGGCAGCUGCAAUAUGUGGUGGAUGUUUUGCUGCUAUAUUGAUAGUGAUUGGAAUUUUAUUAAUCUUGUUCUACAAAAAAAGAAAGAUGAUGCAAAUGAAUGAAAAUUCAAGGCAGAACCAUGUCAAUGUUGCUGAUCCUAUCUAUGGCAAUUCAGAAAUGUUUCCUAAUGGUCCCCAUGAAGUUGGGCCAAUUCCUCAAA